rnacentral:rRNA from 1 species
AUACGUAGGGGGCGAGCGUUGUCCGGAAUGAUUGGGCGUAAAGGGCGCGUAGGCGGCCCGGUAAGUCUGGAGUGAAAGUCCUGUUUUUAAGAUGGGAAUUGCUUUGGAUACUGUCGGGCUUGAGUGCAGGAGAGGUAAGUGGAAUUCCCAGUGUAGCGGUGAAAUGCGUAGAGAUUGGGAGGAACACCAGUGGCGAAGGCGACUUACUGGACUGUAACUUACGCUGAGGCGCGAAAGUGUGGGGAGCAAACAGGAUUAGAUACCCUGGCAGUCCACACUGUAAACGACGAAUGCUAGGUGUAGGGGGUAUCGACCCCUUCUGUGCCGCAGUCAACACAAUAAGCAUUCCGCCUGGGGAGUACGGCCGCAAGGUUGAAACUCAAAGGAAUUGACGGGG